rnacentral:rRNA from 1 species
CUAGCAUAUCAUAGCGGAGGAAAAGAAACCAACAGGGAUUGCCCCAGUAAACGGCGAGUGAAGCGGCGAGAGCUCAAAUUUGAAAUCUGGCCUCCCCCGGGGGCCCGAGUUGUAAUUUGCAGAGGAUGCUUCGGGUGCGGCCGCCGUCUAAGUUCCUUGGAACAGGACGUCAGAGAGGGUGAGAAUCCCGUCUUGGGCGGGCGGUCCGCGCCCGUGUGAAGCUCCUUCGACGAGUCGAGUUGUUUGGGAAUGCAGCUCUAAGCGGGUGGUAAAUUUCAUCUAAAGCUAAAUAUUGGCCGGAGACCGAUAGCGCACAAGUAGAGUGAUCGAAAGGUUAAAAGCACCUUGAAAAGGGAGUUAAACAGCACGUGAAAUUGUUGAAAGGGAAGCGCUUGCGGCCAGACUCGGGGGCGGGGUUCAGCGGGUGCUCGUCGCCCGUGUAUUCCUCGUCUCCCGGGCCAGCAUCAGUUUCGACGGCCGGUCAAAGGCCCCCGGAAUGUGUCGUCUCUCGGGACGUCUUAUAGCCGGGGGUGCAAUGCGGCCCGUCGGGACUGAGGAACGCGCUCCGGCUCGGAUGCUGGCGUAAUGGCCGUAAGCGGCCCGUCUUGAAACACGGACCAAGGAGUCUAACAUCCACGCGAGUGUUCGGGUGUCAAACCCGUGCGCGCAGUGAAAGCGAACGGAGGUGGGAGCCUUAGGGCGCACCAUCGACCGAUCCUGAAGUCUUCGGAUGGAUUUGAGUAGGAGCGUGGCCGUUGGGACCCGAAAGAUGGUGAACUAUGCCUGAAUAGGGUGAAGCCAGAGGAAACUCUGGUGGAGGCUCGCAGCGGUUCUGACGUGCAAAUCGAUCGUCAAAUUUGGGCAUAGGGGCGAAAGACUAAUCGAACCAUCUAGUAGCUGGUCUGCA